GACCCAGCAGAAGGAGAAAACAAUGUCUCUGCAUCCAGAGAGACGAAUACGAUGCCCCAAAACACCUUAAAUUGUAAGAUGCCUUGGGAACACUUUGCGGCUGAAAGGAAACAGCUGUUAUUUCAGCACGCUAUAUCACCAUCCUUACAAGAAACAUAACACAAGAGC